UGUAGGUCAAGCUACAAAGGGCUAACGGUGGAUUCCUAGGCACACAGAGGCGAUGAAGGACGUGGCGACCCACGAAAGGCUUCGGGGAGCUGGAAGCAAGCUUUGAGCCGAAGAUGUCCGAAUGGGGCAACCCAGAAACAGCUCGCUGAAUCCAUAGGCGAGUAUGAGCGAACCCGGUGAAUUGAAACAUCUUAGUAGCUAGAGGAAAAGAAAGCAAACGCGAUUCCCUUAGUAGUGGCGAGCGAAAUGGGAACAGCCUAAACCAAUGGGAUUUCCCGUUGGGGUUGUGGGACAGUCAUCAGAGACCGCCGAGGCUAGACGAAGCAGCUGAAUACUGCACCAAAGAUGGUGAAAGUCCAGUAGUCGAAAGCCAAAACGGCUCGACUGUAUCCCAAGUAGCAUGGGGCACGUGAAAUCCCGUGUGAAUCUGCGAGGACCACCUCGUAAGGCUAAAUACUCCUGAGUGACCGAUAGUGUACUAGUACCGCGAGGGAAAGGUGAAAAGAACCCCCUUAGGGGAGUGAAAUAGACCAUGAAACCGUAUGCUUACAAGCAGUGGAAGGACGAUGUAAAGUCUGACCGCGUGCCUGUUGAAGAAUGAGCCGGCGACUUACAAGUUAUGGCAGGUUAAGACCGAAUAGGUUGCAGCCCAAGCGAAAGCGAGUCUGAAUAGGGCGUUACGUCACUUUUUAUAGACCCGAACCCGGGUGAUCUAACCAUGACCAGGAUGAAGCUUCGGUGAAACGAAGUGGAAGUCCGAACCGACCGAUGUUGAAAAAUCGGCGGAUGAGUUGUGGUUAGGGGUGAAAUGCCAAUCGAACUCGGAGCUAGCUGGUUCUCCCCGAAAUGCGUUGAGGCGCAGCGGUUGAAGUUUAAACCUGGGGGUAAAGCACUGUUUCGGUGCGGGCUGCGAGAGCGGUACCAAAUCGUCGCAAACUCAGAAUACUAGGGGAACAUUCAACCAGUGAGACAGUGGGGGAUAAGCUUCAUUGUCGAAAGGGAAACAGCCCAGAUCCACAGCUAAGGCCCCAAAAUGACGGCUAAGUGGCAAAGGAGGUGAGAGUGCAGAAACAACCAGGAGGUUUGCCUAGAAGCAGCCACCCUUAAAAGAGUGCGUAAUAGCUCACUGGUCAAGCGCUCUUGCGCCGAAAAUGAACGGGACUAAGUAGUGUACCGAAGCUGUGGAAUAGGCAACUAUUGGUAGGGGAGCGUUCUGUAGUAGUGUGAAGCACUAGCGGCAAGCAGGUGUGGACGAAGCGGAAGUGAGAAUGUCGGCUUGAGUAACGCAAACAUUGGUGGGAAUCCAAUGCCCCGAAAACCUAAGGGUUCCUCCCCAAGGUUCGUCCAAGGAGGGUGAGUCAGGUCCUAAGGCGAGGCCGAAAGGCGUAGUCGAUGGACAACGGGUUAACAUUCCCGUACCGUUUGCAGUUGAUGAAGGGGGACGAAGUAGGUGUUCGUCAUCCGGAUGUUGGUUACCGGUGCAAGUGUUCGAGGUGUUGAGGUCUGGUGAAAACAGACUGAGCUGAGGCACGAGUCCGACCCGCUACGGCGGGGAAGUGAUAGUCAUCAGGCUUCCUAGAAAAGCCCUAUACAUCUUAAACUGUAAAUGCCUGUACCCAAAACCGACACAGGUAGGUAAGUAGAGAAUACUAAGGGGCGCGAGAUAACUCUCUCUAAGGAACUCGGCAAAAUGGCCCCGUAACUUCGGGAGAAGGAGUGCCUGCCGAAAGGUAGGUGGCACUGAAGAGGCCCAGGCGACUGUUUACCAAAAACACAGGUCUCCGCAAAAUCGUAAGAUGACAUAUGGGGGCUGACGCCUGCCCAGUGCCGGAAGGUUAAGGAAGUUUGUUAUGCGUAAUCAGAAGCGAGCGACUGAAGCCCCGGUGAACGGCGGCCGUAACUAUAACGGUCCUAAGGUAGCGAAAUUCCUUGUCGGGUAAGUUCCGACCCGCACGAAAGGCGUAACGAUCUGGGCGCUGUCUCAGAGAGAGACUCGGUGAAAUAGAAAUGUCUGUGAAGAUGCGGACUACCUGCACUUGGACAGAAAGACCCUAUGAAGCUUUACUGUAACCUGGAAUUGGGUUUGGGCUCUUCUUGCGCAGGAUAGGUGGGAGGCUGUGAAGAAUUCCUUGUGGGGGAUUCUGAGCCAUCGGUGAGAUACCACUCUGGAAGAGCUAGAAUUCUAACCUUUUCCCGUUAUCCGGGAAAGAGACAGUUUCAGGUGGACAGUUUGACUGGGGCGGUCGCCUCCUAAAAGGUAACGGAGGCGUGCAAAGGUUCCCUCAGACUGGACGGAAAUCAGUCGAAGAGUGUAAAGGCAAAAGGGAGCUUGACUGCAAGACCUACAAGUCGAGCAGGGACGAAAGUCGGCCUUAGUGAUCCGACGGUUCCGCGUGGAAGGGCCGUCGCUCAACGGAUAAAAGUUACUCUAGGGAUAACAGGCUGAUCUCCCCCAAGAGUUCACAUCGACGGGGAGGUUUGGCACCCUCGAUGUCGGCUCAUCGCAACCUGGGGCGGAAGUACGUCCCAAGGGUUGGGCUGUUCGCCCAUGAAAGCGGUACGUGAGCUGGGUUCAGAACGUCGUGAGACAGUUCGGUCCAUAUCCGGUGUAGGCGUUAGAGCAUUGAGAGGAUCUUUCUCUAGUACGAGAGGACCGGGAAGGACGUACCGCUGGUAUACCAGUUCUCGUGCCAACGGGAAACGCUGGGUAGCUACGUACGGAGUGGAUAACUGCUGAAAGCAUCUAAGUAGGAAGCCUACCUCAAGAUGAGUGCUCUCACUGGGUUAGCCAGGUAAGGUCACGGGAAGAUUACCCGUUAAUAGAUGUCAGGUGGAAGUCCAGUAAUGGAUGUAGCCGAGGCACACUAACAGACCGAGGGCUUGACCUC
rnacentral:rRNA from 1 species